AUUGAACGCUGGCGGCAGGCUUAACACAUGCAAGUCGAGCGGAGCGAGGGUGCUUGCACCUUAGCUUAGCGGCGGACGGGUGAGUAAUGCUUAGGAAUCUGCCUAUUAGUGGGGGACAACAUUCCGAAAGGAAUGCUAAUACCGCAUACGCCCUACGGGGGAAAGCAGGGGAUCUUCGGACCUUGCGCUAAUAGAUGAGCCUAAGUCGGAUUAGCUAGUUGGUGGGGUAAAGGCCUACCAAGGCGACGAUCUGUCGCGGGUGUGAGAGGAUGAUCGGCCACACUGGGAGUGAGACACGGCCCAGACCCCUACGGGAGGCAGCAGUGGGGAAUAUUGGACAAUGGGCGGAAGCCUGAUCCAGCCAUGCCGCGUGUGUGAAGAAGGCCGUCUGGUUGUAAAGCACUUUAAGCGAGGAGGAGGCUACUUAGAUUAAUACUCUGGGAUAGUGGACGUUACUCGCAGAAUAAGCACCGGCUAACUCUGUGCCAGCAGCCGCCGUAA
rnacentral:rRNA from 1 species